rnacentral:rRNA from 1 species
GAUGAACGCUGGCGGCGUGCCUAAUACAUGCAAGUCGAGCGAACAGACGAGGAGCUUGCUCCUCUGACGUUAGCGGCGGACGGGUGAGUAACACGUGGAUAACCUACCUAUAAGACUGGGAUAACUUCGGGAAACCGGAGCUCAUACCGGAUAAUAUAUUGAACCGCAUGGUUCAAUAGUGAAAGACGGUUUUGCUGUCACUUAUAGAUGGAUCCGCGCCGCAUUAGCUAGUUGGUAAGGUAACGGCUUACCAAGGCAACGAUGCGUAGCCGACCUGAGAGGGUGAUCGGACACACUGGAACUGAGACACGGUCCAGACUCCUACGGGAGGCAGCAGUAGGGAAUCUUCCGCAAUGGGCGAAAGCUUGACGCAGCAACGCCGCGUGAGUGAUGAAGGUCUUCGGAUCGUAAAGCUCUGUUAUUAGGGAAGAACAAAUGUGUAAGUAACUAUGCACGUCUUGACGGUACCUAAUCAGAAAGCCACGGCUAACUACGUG